GUUGAUUGUAGAUCCAAGUAAAAUGAAAUCCUUGACAACUUCAAUCUUUUCUCCAUUUAUCAUGAUGUUGCUCAUCAGUCCAGUUAUGAGGAUUUUUGUUUUUGAUGUUCUUAGCUGAGUCUCCCGAGGGGCCUGAAGUGUUUACUUUGAAAAAAUUCAAGUGUCUAAAACAGGCCCAAGUUGCCUGGAUACCGCAGCUAGGAAUAAUGGAAUAGGACCGCAGUUCUAUUUUGUUGUUUUCGGAACUGAGGCCACGAUUAAGAGGGACGGGCAGGGGCAUUCAUAUUGCGCCACUAGAGGUGAAAUUCUUGGACCAGCACAAGAUGGACCAGAGCAAACCAUUUGCCAAGAAUGUUUUCAUUAAUCA
rnacentral:ncRNA from 1 species